rnacentral:rRNA from 1 species
AUUGAACGCUGGCGGCAUGCCUUACACAUGCAAGUCGAACGGCAGCACGGGAGCAAUCCUGGUGGCGAGUGGCGAACGGGUGAGUAAUAUAUCGGAACGUGCCCAGUCGUGGGGGAUAACGUAGCGAAAGCUACGCUAAUACCGCAUACGAUCUAUGGAUGAAAGCGGGGGAUCGCAAGACCUCGCGCGAUUGGAGCGGCCGAUAUCAGAUUAGGUAGUUGGUGAGGUAAAGGCUCACCAAGCCGACGAUCUGUAGCUGGUCUGAGAGGACGACCAGCCACACUGGAACUGAGACACGGUCCAGACUCCUACGGGAGGCAGCAGUGGGGAAUUUUGGACAAUGGGCGCAAGCCUGAUCCAGCAAUGCCGCGUGCAGGAUGAAGGCCUUCGGGUUGUAAACUGCUUUUGUACGGAACGAAACGGUGAGCUCUAAUACAGUUUGCUAAUGACGGUACCGUAAGAAUAAGCACCGGCUAACUACGUGCCAGCAGCCGCAGUAA